rnacentral:ncRNA from 12 species
CCUUUGGAGAGUUAUACCAAACUAAAGUAGCGUUUUAGCAAAACAGGACUCUGUGAAUAAGGAA